GAUGAACGCUGGCGGCGUGCCUCAAACAUGCAAGUCGAGCGGGGCUAUGUAAUAUCGCAAGGUAGAACAUAGCCUAGCGGCGAGCGGGUGAGUAACACGUGGGUAACCUGCCUGGAAGACAGGGAUAACGAUUCGAAAGGGUCGCUAAUACCUGAUAAUAUCCUUUCAUCGCAUGGUGAUAGGAAGAAAGGGGAAACCCGCUUUCAGAUGGGCCCGCGUCCCAUCAGCUAGUUGGUAAGGUAAAGGCUUACCAAGGCGACGACGGGUAGCCGGUCUGAGAGGAUGUACGGCCACACUGGGACUGAGAUACGGCCCAGACUCCUACGGGAGGCAGCAGUUGGGAAUCUUAGGCAAUGGACGAAAGUCUGACCUAGCGACGCCGCGUGAGGGAAGAAGGCCUUCGGGUUGUAAACCUCUGUCAUGGGGGAAGAAGUAAGCGACGGUACCCCAAGAGGAAGCCCCUGCUAACUACGUG
rnacentral:rRNA from 1 species